UACGGGGGGAGCAAGCGUUGUUCGGAUUUACUGGGCGUAAAGGGCGCGUAGGCGGCCACUGCAGGUCAGUUGGGAAAUCUCUGGGCUUAACCCGGAAAGGUCAACUGAUACUGCAGGGCUAGAGUGCAGAAGGGGCAACUGGAAUUCUCGGUGUAGCGGUGAAAUGCGUAGAUAUCGAGAGGAACACCUGCGGCGAAGGCGGGUUGCUGGGCUGACACUGACGCUGAGGCGCGAAAGCCAGGGGAGCGAACGGG
rnacentral:rRNA from 1 species